AGAAUUUAGAAAAAUUAUCCAUUGUUUUCUUAUCAGUUAUCAAGAUGUGUGCUUAUUUUAACAUGACUUUAAACCUCUUGCUUUAGGUCGUUUAGGAGGAUGGUUUUGUAUUAGUUGUUUCCUGAACUCUGUUUAGUUGUUUAUUUAUUUUCUAAUAUUUGGUUCUUCAUAGUUGAUAACAUAAGUUACUUUUAUUUACUUGUGUAAAUGAUUUCUUACGUAGAUGAUUUGACUCCAUUAUACCUUUUUUUUUACUUCUGAAUUGGGAUUUGAUUCGUCUCCUUUUUAUUUGUGAGUUACUCCUUGUUGCAAGCUCUGUUUGAAACGAAUCAACUAUUGGAUCAAGACUGAAGAUGAGAACCUAAUUAUGUAGCUGCAGAGGUUUAUUAAGUUGGUUUUUCAUUUGUUUCUCAGUCUAUGUUUACAACUGUCUUUCUUGAUGUUAUAGUGCAUAGACAUGCUCGAAGUUGUUACAUUUUGUGGUGCCAUAGAACCAGAGCUUUUGCAGGGGAGAAGAAGUGGAAGAUUACUGAGAUCAAGUCAUGAUUAGAAGAAGCUGAUGUCUUGAUCUGGAAAAUGGAUCUUGAGGCUAGAAGUUUGCAGUCAAGUGCUAAAGCUGUAUGUCUUUCUAAACUAAAAGAUCGUAAAUUGAUGGAAUUCAAACGAGCGUAAAUCGAUCUGAACCAAUUGAAAAAGGAAUUCAAACGAGUCUCGUCCAUGGCGAAUUGAUGGAAUCCAGAGUGGCGGAGGUAUCUGCUGAUCAGAGAGGAAGAUUGGCAAUGUCAGUGAAGAGGCUUGACCAAUCAAGAGACAGAGUCAGGGAGAUUAGAAGACUAAUGCCGGAGACAGAAGAGGUUGGAAUCUUUGUUUUCCAAGAUCUUAAUCAGCAAUGCCAAACCCUUCUUCAUGUGCACACCAAGGUACCGCAAUUACUCGAGUUGCUUUUGGUAUCUAUCAGUGCCAAUGAUUUACUUUCAUCAUGGGAGAAGAGUCGAAGAAAACUUCCACAAAUCACAUUUUUCAGGUUGUGAAAAUUGAUGGGCAUGUGAUUGGUGACGGAAAAGUGGGGCGGGUAACAAGAACACUGCAAAACGCUUAUAAGAAAAGACAGAGGAUUCUGGUGUGCCAAUACCUACUUACAAAAACCUUGAAGUACAAAACGAGAGGUUUUGAACACGAGGGAACUCAACCAAAAGAAGCAUUCAACGUUCAUAUUCAGUUUAUUUUUGAUGUGAGACAUACAGAAAGCCUGAGAGGAUUUGGAUUCCAGGAUCAUAUGACACCUUCGGAGCAGCUCUGAUGGAGAACUGCAUCUCACUCCGGGAUCUGAAAGCAUCUAAACUUUCUGGAAAUGUUUUAAAUAGACUAUUCAACCUGAACAAAUUCAUGGCGUCUGAAACUUAUUCAUUCGCCAGGAAGAAGUACUUUGACAUGGGUCACUUGGUUAACGCAUUCAAAUAAGUUAUCGGUAACUGAUUGAUCAAUACUUGUCGUGUCUUGGAGUUGGCCGAAUCAAUAUCCUUUUGUAAUGUUUCCUUUCCUGAGUGUACCUGAUUGAUCAAUACUUCUUUUUAUUGGCUUUUAUUUUCUCAUUAAAAAAAAAAAAACUAAAUAAGUUAGUUUUUGUUCAGGCUCUAUUAUGGUACCAUUUUAUAACCUUUCUGAUAUUAAUGGGUUGUGAGGACUCCAAACAAUUUCUAAUCAGGUAUUUAAGGAUUUGGCUACUUCUUUCUUAAGGAGGAUCAAGAAACAUCAGUUCAUCUAGCGAGCACAAUUACAUAUUCAUUGAAGGGAAGAGCACUGCACGUACCUUCUUUUGUUAUUGUAAGUAUUAGCCACUAGCACUGAAAGAUUAUUAAAUAACUUGAUCUUCUUGCAGGCCCAUAUAUUUGAGGGUAAAGAACCUCCAAAAUUUGUUGCACUUUUUCAACAUAUGGUGGUCCUUAAGGAGCUGAAGCUUUAUCAACACUUUAGUUGUGUCUUGGAUGAAAAGAGAGGAAGCUGGCCCAAUAAAUAUCUUCUAUUCCUAUCUACGUAUUCUAUUUGUUGAAGUUUACAGCUGGAGUGACAUAAAUGUUGGUUUGAUUCCUUUAAUAUUUUUUUUGGUUUCGUGAUUGUUUUUUUUCUGUUUAUAUGUGAAGUACUUCUUGUUGCCACCAUGGAGUCGAGAGUGCAAGCUCUGCCAUGUUCUGUUCGUUUCCCAAUGAAAAAUGGUUUCUUCUUGAUCCUUCUUUUUUUAAAGCGAGUGUAAAGACUCGUUGAAGCUAUUUUCUUCUUCUGAUUACAUUGCGCCUUGUCACCUUUUUCUUACAUAGUAGAUGGCUGACUUCAUUAUUUCAACCAAAUCUAACAUUGAAAUCUUUUUUUUUCAGGUAUGAUUUCUCUCAUUUAAAUUUUACUACUUGUUUUGGUUUUUUUUAUAGUCUAACGCGUGCAGGUUGAAUUUUUCUCUGAAGGAAUGCAUGUUUGCUGCUUGCUGUUUGCUUUAACUUAUAUUACCAACACGGCCUUAAAUUUAGUUUUCCAAAUGGUUUUAGUCUUUCUCAUUAACUAAAAUGUCUGUGAGAGUGAAAGCUCUUCUCUGCUCUACUAUAUAUAUGAAUUAGUUUUCGAAGAGGUUUAGAAGGUCAUCUUAUUUCAUGCCUUUUUCAGUAUUUGGUCUGUAUCAAUAUUGUGAUUUGAUAGCAUGUGGGGUGUGCUAGUAAUUGUUUUGGUAUCAGUUCUAUUUGCUAACAAUCUUGCAGUAAUUCUUUCACUGGUUUUUAAGCGAUUAUCUUUGGAUGAGUUUCUUUGUUUGAUAUCUAAGCUGCUUGAAUUGGUUAAUUUAUGUGUUAUAUCUUUUGGUUAUAGGUUGUCGAUGAUUCUAGAUACGUAUAGAUUUUGAUGUUCCAAGAUUUCGAUUUUCACUUUCCUUCUGUUCUUCAGAGAGUUAAUGUUAUGUUGGAAGUUCUUUGUGAUUAGUUGGCCAAAGUGAUUGUAUAGAUUUGUUGUUUCGGCUCUUGAUUAUGUGGGUUCACUUCUUUGUGUUAGGUUCUCUUUAUUAUAGAGUGUUCAUGUUUUCACGCUUGCUUUAGGUCGCUUAGGAGGAUGGUUUUGUAUUAGUUGUUUCUUGAACUCUGUUUAGUUGUUUAUGUUCUUUGACUAAACGUUUUCUUAAGUCUAAAUCAUAUGAGAAGGGGGUCUACUUUUAAGUAUGGUGCUAGUUAAUGUGAUUAUGUUAGAGAGGGUUUUGGAACGUACUCAUUUAAUAGCAAUUAAAUUAUGUAGUUUCGUCACAUGCCAACUCUGUUUUCAGCACAUUUAUAUAGAAUGACGUUAGAGAUUAUAUCUCAUUUCUUAAAAUGACCAGUAGACUAAUUAAAACCGAGGAAGCUAUGCAUUUAUAGAGGAGGAUAGAUUUGUAGCUACUAGUAUCCCAUGUUCUUGAUAUGUUGACUUAGACGCUCUUUGCUUUAACUGAGCCGAGACAGUUCAAAUGGAAGCCAAGGGGCUGAAGCUUUAUAUCUGCAUUCAAUUCUACACCAUCAAAGUCACCUCCAGGAAGACCCGAAGUAUUAGUUAGGCAUCACAAAGAGGGUAAUUUCUUUACCAGUAUUGAUCUAUUGCUGAUGAGUGAAAAGGUAUACUCCUGUAAGUACAAACCAUACAAGACGCAUGAUAUUUGGAAAAACAAAGGUAAAAAAGUAGAAUUGCAAUUUUACAUUUUUUACACUGAUGCGUGUGAGACUUUUUUGUGUGUCAAACAUCUCAAACUUUGCUAUGUAACUUUUCUGUUUAUUUCGAGCGAUCACCUUGUUUGAGUUUUGGUAUUAUAUGGGGCAACUCUUGCACUGUCUUCAGAAACUUUCUUGAUUCAUGGGUGUUUUCUUUCUACUGUUUUAUUCCUUUUGCAUUGGUUACCUUUAUUGACUUGUUGAAAUUACUUCCUAUGCAGAUACAGGGGAUAUCACGUUUUGGUCUCUUUUUUGUGAUGGUCCUCAGGAUUUGGCAACCCGUGGCAUCAAUCUCAUCUUGAGUGAAGUAUAUUUUAGGUGUGUACAAUAAUUUACUCUUCUGGAUCAGUCCAGCAGUGGGAUGUGUUUCAUUCUCUCUUGAUUUAAAGAUUUUGCAUACUUUAUUCUCGCUGAGGAGGAUAAGUCAUCUGAGCCUAGUCUUAAAUAUUGGAUUUAGCAACCCGUGGCAUCAAUCUCAUCUUGAGUGAAGUAUAUUUUAGGUUCAAGUGCUUAUAUAUACCUGGCUGGAGAAUGGAGAUGGGGUGGUGAUAACUCCCAAUGAACAUGUACUCUUUGAAGAUAUCCUAUGUCUAAUAUUCUACAUGAUUAAACCAGAGGCAAGAGUUCUUUCGAAUAAUAAUAUGGUCUUUUCAUAUUCCGGGCUGUUUUUUUUUUUUGCUUUCUUAUUUGAAACAUCAAUUGUUGAAUGAC